rnacentral:rRNA from 1 species
GAUGAACGCUGGCGGCGUGCCUAAUACAUGCAAGUCGAGCGAACGGACGAGAAGCUUGCUUCUCUGAUGUUAGCGGCGGACGGGUGAGUAACACGUGGAUAACCUACCUAUAAGACUGGGAUAACUUCGGGAAACCGGAGCUAAUACCGGAUAAUAUUUUGAACCGCAUGGUUCAAAAGUGAAAGACGGUCUUGCUGUCACUUAUAGAUGGAUCCGCGCUGCAUUAGCUAGUUGGUAAGGUAACGGCUUACCAAGGCAACGAUGCAUAGCCGACCUGAGAGGGUGAUCGGCCACACUGGAACUGAGACACGGUCCAGACUCCUAAGGGAGGCAGCAGUAGGGAAUCUUCCGCAAUGGGCGAAAGCCUGACGGAGCAACGCCGCGUGAGUGAUGAAGGUCUUCGAAUCGUAAAACUCUGUUAUUAGGGAAGAACAUAUGUGUAAGUAACUGUGCACAUCUUGACGGUACCUAAUCAGAAAGCCACGGCUAACUACGUG